AGUGUUUUUUAAAAACACUCAUGUGAAUAUAUUGAAUUCACAAAGCGUUAUGCUCAUGGAUUAUGAGGAUUAUUCUAUUGAUGAUUGGAAUGGAUUAUCCAUUGAACAUGUUGUUUGCAUUCAAGCCUUGUGGAAAGAUGAACCAUACGAUGCUUGUCUUCUGCAAGUUGUCCCGAAUGAUGAUAAUUGUCAACAAACUAUAAAUAGUUUGAGACAUGCAGUUCAAAUUAAAAAAUUUGGUGCACAGAGAUUGAUGAAAUACCUCAAGUUCAGAGUGCGACCUAAUAAAAGACCAACUUUACAGCCAUUAGAAAACAUCACUAGUGGAACUGACUCUGAUGCCUCAAUCCACUGUUUAUUGAACCACUGAAUGCUAAAAUUAGCGAGCCGUAAUCACCGCUUUGUUCUCCACCUUUAGUCCCAAUGCAUAUAUCACAAAUCCCACCUCCUAACGUUUUAAAUUUUUCUAAACCUUUGGAAUGUAAAGUCUCAGGUUCUGCCUCAGUUGGUCCAAAAACAAAGCGAGCAAAUAGUACUUGUGCAGUGCUUGGCGAGCUUAAUGCUCUUUGGAUGGAGGCAGGCAUUGAUUCUGACACAGUUCAAGCUGUUCGAUAUGAUCAGGCAGUCAUUUUGCAAAAAUUAGCACUUAUUUCGCAACGACUGGACAGCUCGAUAGAUACAACAGCGAAAGCACCACCGUUAUUUGAAAGUCACCAGAAAAUUCCUUGUUUUGUACAAUAGAUGAUUUAGCAAAUGUAGAUACUGCUUUAUCUGAAAUUAUAUUUCAAUGGGUGCUACAAGAGGGUGGCCGUGAUGCCAAUGAUCUUUGUGAUUGUUUAUUAAAUCUUCUUUUAUCUGUUGCUUUGGCAAAACAGCUCAAUCGAAGUGGUAAAAAUGGAAAAUUAAAACUUCCAGUUAAGUUAGAGCAAUUUGUUAAGGACUGCGUAUUGACUAAAUAUCCAAAUGAAACUCGAAAUCUUAUAGAAUUGCGCAUUAAAUGAUUUUUGCAUAAUGCUAUGGAUAAAAAUGGUGGCAGAGCUGCAAGACGAAUUUCUAAACGUCCUAAAAGUGCUUUGCGACCCGAUAAUUUGCACAAUACCAUGGAUAAAAAAGAAAUCAGUCCUGAAGAUCCUGAUUAUAAACAUCUGAAAAAAAUCUUACAUGUCUUAUUGCAUACCUAAAGAUGACAUAUUAACUUGCGUCUAGGUGAUUUAUGUUACUUCAUAGAGAUAAGUAAAUGAUAAAAAUAACGAUGUAUACUACUGAUUACUACUGAUGCUAGAAAGUUAGAUUUUCAUUCUUUUAAUUGAGUAUUAUUAAUAAAUACAAAAUUUAUGUUUUAAUUACACAAGUAUUACA